GAACAAACUCUCAGCAACGGAUAUCUUGGCUNNNGCAACGAUGAAGAACGCAGCGAAAUGCGAUACGUAGUGUGAAUUGCAGAAUUCCGCGAAUCAUCGAGUUUUUGAACGCAAGUUGCGCCCGAGGCUUGACCGAGGGCAUUUCCGCCAGAGCGUCACC
rnacentral:rRNA from 2 species